rnacentral:rRNA from 1 species
AUUGAACGCUGGCGGCAGGCUUAACACAUGCAAGUCGAACGGUAACAUGAAGAAGCUUGCUUCUUUGAUGACGAGUGGCGGACGGGUGAGUAAUGCUUGGGAAUCUAGCUUAUGGAGGGGGAUAACUACGGGAAACUGUAGCUAAUACCGCGUAGAAUCGAGAGAUGAAAGUGUGGGACCUUCGGGCCACAUGCCAUAGGAUGAGCCCAAGUGGGAUUAGGUAGUUGGUGAGGUAAAGGCUCACCAAGCCGACGAUCUCCAGCUGGUCUGAGAGGAUGACCAGCCACACUGGGACUGAGACACGGCCCAGACUCCUACGGGAGGCAGCAGUGGGGAAUAUUGCGCAAUGGGGGCAACCCUGACGCAUGCCAUGCCGCGUGAAUGAAGAAGGCCUUCGGGUUGUAAAGUUCUUUCGGUAGCGAGGAAGGCAUUUAGUUU